CCCUACCGAGCUUCUCUCUACUCCCGCAGCUUCUUAGUUCCGGAAGUUUUUAAAACCCAAGGACUAGAACUCUCCCCAAAUUCCACCGUCACUCCACUGAUGUCACCUUUCUGUGAUUUCUCUAGACAAAAGUAUUGAGCAAUCAAGAGGCUAAGAGACUUGUCUGAGAUCAACGAAGUGACAGCAAAGUUUCAAGCGGUCUGCUUUAUGUGAAAUGUUUUCCUACUGACACCCCUUCUUGGAUGAGAUAACGUCUCUGGGCCAAUUCAUGUAUUUACACAAUUAAAAACAGCCUUGUUUUGUUUUUGA